rnacentral:lncRNA from 1 species
CAGCCACUCCUCGGAACGGCCACCUCCCAGGCAAGGAUAUCCUGAAGGAUACUAUAGUUCCAAAAGUGGAUGGAGCAGUCAGAGCGAUUACUAUGCAAGCUAUUACUCCAGCCAGUACGAUUAUGGAGAUCCAGGUCACUGGGAUCGUUACCACUACAGUGCUAGAGUCAGGGACCCCCGCACCUAUGACCGGAGGUAUUGGUGUGAUGCAGAGUAUGACGCAUACAGGAGAGAGCACUCUGCCUUCGGGGACAGGUUGGUGGAGCACCCCUGGGGAGGCAGAGGCUGGGGGCAGCCAGGGCGCGCCAGUGCUUCUCUGCCCUCAUGUCUGGGUUUUAACAAAGAGCUGUGGUAGUUUG